AGACCCGAAACCCGGUGAUCUAGCCAUGGGCAGGUUGAAGGUUGGGUAACACUAACUGGAGGACCGAACCGACUAAUGUUGAAAAAUUAGCGGAUGACCUGUGGCUGGGGGUGAAAGGCCAAUCAAACCGGGAGAUAGCUGGUUCUCCCCGAAAGCUAUUUAGGUAGCGCCUCGUGAAUUCAUCUCCGGGGGUAGAGCACUGUUUCGGCUAGGGGGCCAUCCCGGCUUACCAACCCGAUGCAAACUGCGAAUACCGGAGAAUGUUAUCACGGGAGACACACGGCGGGUGCUAACGUCCGUCGUGAAGAGGGAAACAACCCAGACCGCCAGCUAAGGUCCCAAAGUCAUGGUUAAGUGGGAAACGAUGUGGGAAGGCCCAGACAGCCAGGAUGUUGGCUUAGAAGCAGCCAUCAUUUAAAGAAAGCGUAAUAGCUCACUGGUCGAGUCGGCCUGCGCGGAAGAUGUAACGGGGCUAAACCAUGCACCGAAGCUGCGGCAGCGAACGUAUCACCCAAGACAACUUUACGGAGUUGAC
rnacentral:rRNA from 1 species